GGCCUGGUGGUGUAGUGGGAACACAACCUCUCAAUUUAGAGGAUUCUCACAGAUUGUUUGAGGGAGACCCCUGUUCGAUUCGGGGCUGGGCCA